UUGCGUACCAGUAGACCUUAUCUGGUUAUUCUGAUAGCCAGAUGAGGGGGAUAGUGCAUGCUAGAAAGAAGCUGGGGUUGCUGUAGGCUGUGAUCAGCUUCCACGUGGCUGAUUGAACUGCAAUACUCCAACAUGU
ensembl:snoRNA